UACAGACUGUGCGAGCGUUAUUCUUAUUGAUUGGGCGUAAAGGGUAUGUAGGCGGCGGCUUCAAAUUUUGCUUCAAAUACUAGAGUCAUAACUUUAGAUUCGGCUUUUAGAUUACUGCGCUAAAAGAGUUAAUAACAGGUCGGAGGAAUUUCCAGCGAAAAAGUAGAAUUUACCAAUUCUGGAAAGAACACCUAAAGUGCAGACAUCCCUCUAGUGUUAACUGACGCUGAGGUACGGAAGCGUAGGGAGCAAACAGG
rnacentral:rRNA from 1 species